AUCCAGCUGACGAGUCCUAAAUAGGACAAAAAGUGCAUCCUGGAU
rfam:Schistosoma margrebowiei strain Zambia genome assembly, scaffold: SMRZ_scaffold0005694